rnacentral:lncRNA from 1 species
AGAGAGGAUGCACACUCUGAAGAGGGCAGGCAGCUUCUGCACCGAGGGAGCAAAGGGGCGUGUCAGGGGCAGCUGCUGGAAGGAGGCGCAAGCACCACGGAGAGUCUGGGAUGCCCAGCCAAGGAGCCCUGGAAGGGUUGCCCUGGGGACUGACACUGUGGGCUCUGUGUUUUAGCCAAGUCACCCAGGCAGCUGAACAGAAGAUGGACUGGAGGGAGAAGCCUGGAUGAUCGCUCAGCAACAAAGGAGCCAGAAAAGGCAAGGUGUACACACCGUGUGCAGCAUGGGCGAGCUGCAGGCAUGCAGAACUUCUGAGUCCUAACCAUGGCUGGUGGCUCUUCCAGGAACAUGGUUUCCUGGACCCAAAAGAUGAGGAAACUGAGGCUUGGAGAGGCUCUCUGCCUUUGUCAACCUGGAGAUGCUGGGAAGGAAGUGAGGCCCAUCCCACCUCAGAUGCCUGUCCUCUGUCGUCAGGAGCAUUCUCUUGUUCUUCCGGGCUUGGCCAAGCGGUGGUAAACCCCACAUGUGGUUCUGUGGUUGCCCACACAGUCCUAAAAAUAGCCAACAGGAACCCAGGGGCUCCCCCUUGGUGAGUGGCAGCAGGCCCAGUCCUCAGGCAGCCACCAACCUGCUCACUCCCCACAGGCAAGCAGGUCCUGUCUAGGAAGGGGCUGGGUGGCCUGGGUCCCAUGCAUGAUGAGCCAGAGGCUGUGCCAAGCUUAUAGCAAAUAUUAUUUUAUUUCAUUAUGUUUUCUUACAUCUGUGAUGUGGAGGCCAUAGCUCCACUGGACUCAUGAGGAGACUGAGGCUCAGAGCAAUGAAGUGACCUGCUCAAAGUUAAGGAGCUUCAGUUUGGACCCAAUUUGUUCUGAUCCUAAGGUCACUAUCCUUAAUCCCUCUCCCUGUGGGGUCUUCCCUAUCUUGAGCCUGUGGACAGCUGUGCAGUGGCAAGAAAAAGGCCUUCAGAGCUACGCAGACCUGGCUUCAAAUCCCAGCCUCCCUGAUGAGCCCUGGUGGUCUUGCAUGCUUGCCCUUGGGACUCAGACACCAUAUUGUGAGGAAGCCCAAGCUACAUGCAGAGGCCACUAUAGUUGUUCUGGCCAACAGCCCAAGCUUCAGCUGCCAGACAUAUAAAUAAACCAACUCUUCAAAUGA